GCACUCUUCGGAGUGAGCGGCGGACGGGUUAGUAACGCGUGGGAACGUGCCCUUUUCUGCGGAAUAGCCUCUGGAAACGGAGAGUAAUACCGCAUACGCCCUUCGGGGGAAAGAUUUAUCGGAGAAGGAUCGGCCCGCGUUAGAUUAGAUAGUUGGUGGGGUAAUGGCCUACCAAGUCUACGAUCUAUAGCUGGUUUGAGAGGAUGAUCAGCAACACUGGGACUGAGACACGGCCCAGACUUCUACGGAAGGCAGCAGUGGGGAAUCUUGGACAAUGGGCGCAAGCCUGAUCCAGCCAUGCCGCGUGAGUGAUGAAGGCCUUAGGGUCGUAAAGCUCUUUCGCCAGGGAUGAUAAUGACAGUACCUGGUAAAGAAACCCCGGCUAACUCCGUGCCAGCAGCCGCGGUAAUACGGAGGGGGUUAGCGUUGUUCGGAAUUACUGGGCGUAAAGCGCACGUAGGCGGACUAAUCAGUCAGAGGUGAAAUCCCAGGGCUCAACCCUGGAACUGCCUUUGAUACUGUUAGUCUAGAGUUCGAGAGAGGUGAGUGGAAUUCCGAGUGUAGAGGUGAAAUUCGUAGAUAUUCGGAGGAACACCAGUGGCGAAGGCGGCUCACUGG
rnacentral:rRNA from 1 species